UCUUCAUUACACAUACUCUCUCACCGGUUAGAGAGGCGACAGAGUAUGCAAAAUGAAGAGA
rnacentral:pre_miRNA from 1 species